UACAGAGGUCUCAAGCGUUGUUCGGAUUUAUUGGGCGUAAAGGGUGUGUAGGUGGUCUUGUUAGUCUUCUGUGAAAUUCUUCGGCUUAACCGGGGGUCCGCAGGGGAAACGGCAGGACUAGAGGAUGCGAGAGGUGUGCGGAACUCAUGGUGUAGGGGUGAAAUCCGUUGAUAUCAUGGGGAACACCGAAAGCGAAGGCAGCACACUGGCGCACUCCUGACACUGAAACACGAAAGCGUGGGUAGCGAAUGGG
rnacentral:rRNA from 1 species